rfam:Triticum aestivum genome assembly, contig: Triticum_aestivum_CS42_TGACv1_scaffold_433265_5DL
AGUUUUUUUUUAAGCACCGGUGCUUAUUUGUGGAGGGUAGACGCUUAAUUAAGCGUCUGUCCUAUAGAAAUAAGCACCGGUGCUUAAGAAGAACU